rnacentral:lncRNA from 1 species
UUGUAUUAAUUUUUUGAAACAAGUUAUUUUUUUAUUUCACUUCACCAAUUUCAACUAUUUUGUGUGUGUUCAUCACAUGAAAUCCAAAUAAUAAUCCAUUUAAAUUACAGGUUGUAAUGCAACAAAAUAGGAAAAACGCCAAGGGGGAUGAAUACUUUUGCAAGGCACUACACACACAGCAGGAUAGAUCAUUUCUGACUCACCAAACUGUCAGUACAAUACUGAUGGGCAUCGAUGUGAGCGCUACAAAGUGGGUAACUACGGCAAUGCUGCCCAGAGGACCUGUCGUGGGUGUCUUAUCCCUGAAGCUCUAUCUCUUAAUGCAUAUAGAAGAUCUCCUUCGUCACCUGAGGGAGGCGAAAUCUAGUAUACCCACCAUAAAUGUGGCAGUGGAGGAGGUGGCCAGGAUGAUGAAGGAGGUGCAGCGCAUGGUGCAGGAGAUGAGAGAACUUGGCUGCAGUAACCAGACAAGGAGGCUGCCAGGGAGCAAGAGGAGGCUCAAAAAUGUGAGAUCUGGGCUUUUUGGAUUAGACUAAAGUCACUUACAGUACAGGGCAGCACUUUAUUUAGCAUUAUUUUGAAUGAGACAUUCCAUACAUCAAUGUGACACAAGUUCUUGAUAGAUAUGACUCAAGGUGCAAAGGGUAAUACAUGUGUCCCUCUCAGUAUUGGACUUCAUCAGGAACAAUAUGACAACUCCAUUGGAUGACAACCUGGCUGUAGCCAAUGAGGCGGCAGAGUCCCUGAUGACGUGGGGCUCUGCGUUGAUGAAUCUGGCAGAGGCUGUGGUACAAGCAGAGGAUAUGGUAAACAGGACAUGGAGCCUCAACUCCAGCAGUACUGACUUCCUAAGAGACCUGACGGUAAUGUCAAAUACUGAAGAAUAACAUAUAUGAAAUGUUGUAGAUACAACACAAAAAAAUGUCCCUCCUAUUUCCAAAUAAUCUACUAGCAAUUAAAAGAUGAGCUGGAGAGGAAACGUGAUUCAAUCCAAUCAAUAUGACGAAAGAUAAACUGAGGAAUAUCACAAACCUUUUGUAAAUGAUGAAGGAGCAAAACAAGGUAUGAAGCAGAUGAGGCAUUAAAAAUUUAAUUUAAAUCUUUCAGGAAUACGAGCACCUUGCAGCCGAGGUAGAUCAAAUAAAAUGUAUUUAUAAAGCCCUUCUUACAUCAUCACAGUGAUGUACAGAAACUCAGCCUAAAACCCCAAACAGCAAGCAACGCAGGUAUAGAAGCACAGUGGCUAGGAAAAACUCCCUAGAAAAGCCAGAACCUAGGAAGAAACCUAGAGAGGAAUCAGGCUAUGAGGGGUGGCCAGUCCUCUUCUGGCUGUGCCGGGUGGAGAUUAUAACAGAACAUGGCCAAGAUGUUCAAAUGUUCAUAGAUGACCAGCAGGGUCAAAUAAUAAUAAUCACAGUGGAUUUCGAGGGUGCAACAGGUCAGCACCUCAGGAGUAAAUGUCAGUUGGCUUUUCAUAGCCGAUCAGUAUCUCUACCGCUCCUGCUGUCUCUACCGCUCCUGCAAUGGAACUACAAAUGUAGGUAGACAAAGAGAGGGUUAGGUUGUUCUUAGGUGGGGGCCUACUUCUUCAUACCCCACAGACGUUUCCUAUGUC